rnacentral:rRNA from 1 species
GGGGAAUAUUGCACAAUGGGGGAAACCCUGAUGCAGCGACGCCGCGUGAAGGAUGAAGGUUUUCGGAUCGUAAACUUCUUUGAUCGGGGACGAAAAAUGACGGUACCCGAAGAACAAGCCACGGCUAACUACG